CCUACGGGAGGCAGCAGUAGGGAAUAUUGCUCAAUGGGGGCAACCCUGAAGCAGCAACGCCGCGUGGAGGAUGAAGGUUUUCGGAUUGUAAACUCCUUUUGUUAGAGAAGAUAAUGACGGUAUCUGACGAAUAAGCACCGGCUAACUCCGUGCCAGCAGCCGCGUGAAUACGGAGGGUGCAAGCGUUACUCGGAAUCACUGGGCGUAAAGCGCGCGUAGGCGGGAUAGCAAGUCAGAUGUGAAAUCCUAUGGCUUAACCAUAGAACUGCAUUUGAAACUGUUAGUCUAGAGUACGGGAGAGGUAGGUGGAAUUCUUGGUGUAGCGGUAAAAUCCGUAGAGAUCAAGAGGAAUACCGAUUGCGAAGGCGACCUGCUAGAACAUAACUGACGCUGAUGCGCGAAAGCGUGGGGAGCAAACAGGAUUAGAUACCCCAGUAGUC
rnacentral:rRNA from 1 species